rnacentral:misc_RNA from 1 species
AGGAUCAUUAAAGAAAUUUAAUAAUUUUGAAAAUGGAUUUUUUUGUUUUGGCAAGAGCAUGAGAGCUUUUACUGGGCAAGAAGACAAGAGAUGGAGAGUCCAGCCGGGCCUGCGCUUAAGUGCGCGGUCUUGCUAGGCUUGUAAGUUUCUUUCUUGCUAUUCCAAACGGUGAGAGAUUUCUGUGCUUUUGUUAUAGGACAAUUAAAACCGUUUCAAUACAACACACUGUGGAGUUUUCAUAUCUUUGCAACUUUUUCUUUGGGCAUUCGAGCAAUCGGGGCCCAGAGGUAACAAACACAAACAAUUUUAUUUAUUCAUUAAAUUUUUGUCAAAAACAAGAAUUUUCGUAACUGGAAAUUUUAAAAUAUUAAAAACUUUCAA